UACGUAGGGUGCAAGCGUUGUCCGGAAUUAUUGGGCGUAAAGAGCUCGUAGGCGGUUCGUCGCGUCGGCUGUGAAAACCCGGAGCUCAACUCCGGGCCUGCAGUCGAUACGGGCGGACUCGAGUUCGGCAGGGGAGACUGGAAUUCCUGGUGUAGCGGUGAAAUGCGUAGAUAUCAGGAGGAACACCGGUGGCGAAGGCGGUUCUCUGGGCCUUACCUGACGCUGAGGAGCGAAAGCGUGGGGAGCAAACAGG
rnacentral:rRNA from 1 species